rnacentral:rRNA from 1 species
UACGGAGGGGGCUAGCGUUGUUCGGAAUUACUGGGCGUAAAGCGUGCGCAGGCGGUCUGUUAAGACCGAUGUGAAAUCCCCGGGCUUAACCUGGGAACUGCAUUGGUGACUGGCAGGCUUUGAGUGUGGCAGAGGGAGGUAGAAUUCCACGUGUAGCAGUGAAAUGCGUAGAGAUGUGGGGGAAUACCGAUGGCGAAGGCAGCCUCCUGGGCCAACACUGACGCUCAUGCACGAAAGCGUGGGGAGCAAACAGG